rnacentral:tRNA from 1 species
UCCCUGGAGGACUAGUGGUUAUGCCACAGUGCUCUCACUGCUGCAGCCCAGGUUCGAGUCCCAGCCAGGGAA